UGUUACCCAGUAGUGUUUUGCUGCAGUGACAUCUCGGUGCUGGCGACUCGCUGCUGGCGAUGACUCGCUGCUGGCGAAUCGAUCUGCGCAUGUGUAUAAAAUGGUAUUUACUUCCGAAAACAUGCCUGCUGGACGCGCUCACUUUUCUCUGACUGAAACUCAGUUCCUGGCAAGUUGCAGGGAUCAUGUAAUUAAGGCAGCCUCCACAUCCAAUUCUUUAUUUGUACUCCAUGAAAUAGAGACAGAAUAUAUGAAGGACUUUGACUAGUAUCGAAUAGCCUUGCUUGAAGCUGUUGCAACAUCCAAAAGAAAAUCUACAGCUACCUUCCUGUUUGGUAACAAAUCCAUGUUGCGUUCAUAACAAAAUGGAAGACUUGCAAGUCAUAAUGGCCGUAUUCAACUGGUCGUUCUUCAUUAAACCACGCCCACUUGAGCAGUGGUAAUAUCCUACUUAACGAAGAAGACCUUUCGAAUAGAAAACUGGUAAAUACUCAACAAAACAAAAAGGCUACAUAGUUACCCCAAUGAUACAUCAUGCAUAAUCAAGGUUUAAAAAAAAAAAAUGUUUUCAUCCAGUUUUUAAAUUCAGUUAGCCUAUAAUUAUUUUUUGACUUCAUGUGCGUAAAUGUUAAAAUUUUUAAUUUCUGAAAUUUAAUCUAAAUUAUAUUAAUGCAGAGUUGUUGCUAAACCAAUUGGCUAUGUUUGUUUUGGUCACGCGAAUAAUGCUAAUUAACGCACACUGGUUUACAUUAAUUUUAUAUCUAUUUUACAAACCAGUAGAAUGGAAAUAAUACUCGACGAAAAAUUGUAGUCAACAAAAUGAACUAGUCAAAUAAGCCCAUUGACAAUUUAUGCAGGUGUUGUGUAUGCUAUCAAAAACCAGGUUCAAUAGCAAUGGAAUUGCUCCAGAGGAGGAUGAGGGGUGGCAACAUAACACUAUACUCUCUAGCAGUCAGGGCCCAGCCAGAGGGGUGUUGAGGGGUUUUAACACCCUCUAAAAUUAAUCGAAAUACACAAAAAAUCCUGAUAAUGUAGUAGUAAAGGUAAAAUAUAGGCCUUUAUGUAUGAUUUAUGUAUUGAUUUAUUAUGAUUUACAGAGGAUCCCGGAGGUACUGUCCAACCAGGGCCACCCCCCCUUUAAAAUAAACCAGAAAUAAUUGAAAGAAAUGAAUGAAUCAUAAACCUAACAUACUGUGAAUUGUUAACAUUCUUUCAUUACGCCAUCUUUAUAUGAUUGUAAAUUUUAUUUUCAUAUGUAGGCCUAUAAUUCGGGAUUAGAUCAAAUUAAAUCUCACUAUAUUCUAGCUCCUAUUUUGUUUUCUUGAAAAAUAUGAAGUUGAAGUUUGACUUAAAAUCAAAUAAAUAUUUUUUUAAGUGAAUAAAUUUGUUAUACCUUAUAGUAAUAUUGCACAGUAUAUAAACAAUAAAAGGAAAAUAAGUGAGGGUGUUUUAGCCUGACUUUAGUAGUACAGUAUUCUCAGAUGCAAUGGAAGUGUUGAAAAUAUGGAUAAACAAAUAAACUUGCCCUUGAAGAAAAAAUAAAAA
rnacentral:lncRNA from 1 species